rnacentral:rRNA from 1 species
AUACGUAGGGUGCGAGCGUUGUCCGGAAUUACUGGGCGUAAAGAGCUCGUAGGUGGUUUGUCGCGUCGUCUGUGAAAUUCCGGGGCUUAACUCCGGGCGUGCAGGCGAUACGGGCAUAACUUGAGUACUGUAGGGGAGACUGGAAUUCCUGGUGUAGCGGUGAAAUGCGCAGAUAUCAGGAGGAACACCGGUGGCGAAGGCGGGUCUCUGGGCAGUAACUGACGCUGAGGAGCGAAAGCAUGGGUAGCGAACAGGAUUAGAUACCCUGGUAGUCCAUGCCGUAAACGGUGGGCGCUAGGUGUAGGGGUCUUCCACGACUUCUGUGCCGUAGCUAACGCAUUAAGCGCCCCGCCUGGGGAGUACGGCCGCAAGGCUAAAACUUAAAGGAAUGGACGGGG